AACGAACGCUGGCGGCAUGCCUAACACAUGCAAGUCGAACGAGAAAGUUCUUCGGAAUGAGUAAAGUGGCGCACGGGUGAGUAAUACAUGGAUAAUCUGCCCUUUAGUUUGGGAUAACUCUUCGAAAGAAGGGCUAAUACCUUAGAGACCACGAGGACAUCAGUUCUUGAGGUUAAAGGUGGGGUCGCAAGACCUAUCGCUAGAGGAUGAGUCCAUGCACUAUCAGCUAGUUGGUGAGGUAAUGGCUCACCAAGGCUUUGACGGUUAGCUGGUCUGAGAGGAUGAUCAGCCACACUGGAACUGAGACACGGUCCAGACUCCUACGGGUGGCAG
rnacentral:rRNA from 1 species